rnacentral:rRNA from 1 species
GCAGUCCCGGAACGCAGACGAGAUGUUAUGGUGAGAACAAACUGCCCUGCCCGAAUGAAGCUGAACGUGGAAGGGGCUUGGUGGGUGGUAACAAAAUAUGUUGGGCACCACAACCAUGACAUGAUAAAGACAUUUGACCUUGUGAAGUUUCUGAGCACUCACCGUGGGUUCACCCCACAAGAGGAACAGUUCGUGAAGUUGCUGCAUGACUGCAACCUCCAGCCAGGGAGAAUGGUGCACAUCCUCUCAAUGAUUCACAGCAAAAGCGGCAAGCUAAGCAGCCUGCCAUACCUGCCUUCAGAUGUGGUAAACCUGGUAGCAAAGUAUCGCAGGGAAAGUCAACUAUCAGACAUGGACGACACAAUUGCAUACUUCAUGCAGAGGGAGAAAGACGAUCCCGACUUCUUCUACAGAAUAAAACUGGAUGAUGAGGACCGCGUUGUGAACAUGUACUGGAUAGAUGGUGCGGCACACAGGGCUUACAAGCACUUUUGUGACUGCGUGUCGUUCGAUGCAACGUAUCUAACAAACAUGUACAAGAUGUCGUGAUGUCCGUUGAUUGGCAUAAACAACCACAACCAGUCACUGCAGUUCGGAUGCGGUUUUGUUCACAACGAAGAUACGAGCAGCUAUGUUUGGCUGUUCAAAACAUUUCUGGAAUGCAUGGGCGGCCUCGCGCCAAUGAACAUGAUAACAAACCAGGAUUUGGGGAUGCGUGGAGGCAUUGAGGAAGUGUUCCCAACAACCAUACACAGACACUGCAGGUGGCAUGUCAUAAAAAAGGCGGAAGAGACAUUAGGCCCCUUCUUUGCUGAGAGGCCGGAACUCCACAAAGCAUUUGAAUUAUGUGUUGACCAUAGCUUAACCCCCGAGGAAUUCGAAACGAGCUGGAAGGCAAUGAUAGAAAAGUACCAAGUCCAAGACAAUGAGACACUACAAAACCUUUGGAAUAAGAGAAAAUUCUGGGUGCCAACUUAUUUUAUGCAGUGUUUCUACCCCUUCCUGCAGACUACACAACGCAGUGAGGGGUUUAACGCUGUUAUAAAAAGGUACGUGAACCCUAGCAAUUCAAUUCUCAGAUUUUUCCAGCAGUACAGUGCAAUACAACAAAAAAUUCUAGGAGCGGAGUUACAACAGUUAGCUAACACAGCACUCAAAGACCCCCAACUAUACUCAUGCAAUCCAUUGGAGAGACAGAUGAUGAGAACAUACACACGGCAAAUUUUCUAUAGGUUUCAGCAUGAGCUAAGGCUGUGCAGCGGGUACACUAUGCUUAGAAUUGAUGAGUACAAUUAUAAAGUUUGCACGCUGCGAGAAAGUGAGGACCCGGACAAGGGCAGAAACUACAUGGUGACAGCAGACAUAUCAAAUGGUGUGUACUACUGUCAAUGUUGCAAGUUUGAAAGAGACGGGAUGCUCUGCUGCCACCUACUAAGGGUCAUCGACUUCAGUGCUGUGAAGAAGGUGCCAGCUAGGUACAUACUGGAGCGUUGGACUUGGAAUGCUGAUGAAGCACUUUGCCCCCAUGGCGCCCAGGAAGUGCUCGCGGUGCAUGAAGAUGGUCCCAACACAAGUAUGGACACCGUGAGGCAUAUGGUAAUGACAAGAAGAUUUGCCCACAUAGCAGACGAUGCAUGCAAGCAUGACGAAAUGAGCAGGGCCGUAGAGAGGCACACAAAAGCAUUAGAGAGGGAAUUAGAGUCAAUCAAGAAGAGGCAGCAGCUAUGA